CCUACGGGAGGCUGCAGUGGGGAAUAUUGCACAAUGGGCGAAAGCCUGAUGCAGCAACGCCGCGUGAAGGAAGACGGUCUUCGGAUCGUAAACUUCUAUCAAUAGGGAAGAACGAACUGACGGUACCUAAACAAGAAGCUCCGGCUAACUACGUGCCAGCAGCCGCGGUAAUACGUAGGGGGCAAGCGUUAUCCGGAAUUACUGGGGGUAAAGGGAGAGUAGGCGGCAAGGUAAGCGAUGUGUGAAAGCCUUAGGCUUAACGAAAGGAUUGCAUACCGAACUAUCUAGCUAGAGUUCAGGAGAGGAUAGCGGAAUUCCAAGUGUAGGGGUGAAAUGCGUAGAUAUUAGGAAGAACACCAGUGGCGAAGGCGACUUUCUGGACUAAAACUGACGCUGAGGCGCGAAAGCGUGGGGAGCGAACAGGAUUAGAUACCCGAGUAGUC
rnacentral:rRNA from 1 species